UCCGAGGAUUACACCGCGUAGCCUACUCGUUUUCAUUCAAUUGUGCCCUGAACAGGAAAAUCGCACAACCCCGAUCCGUAGCCAUUGCAAAUUGAUAGAGCCUUGUUCUGCUAAAUCCUUCAGAAAACAUCAUGGGAAAAGUAAUCCAGCCUUAUUUCUAAUCAGAUUACCAUCCUGGGUCUAAUUUCAGACGGAUCUUGAAACCAACUCGCAUUCUGGUGGCGAUCGCUGUCCCAGGUGCUGAAUUCCCCGCCUCCCUCGGUCUCAAUUGUAACCCUCAGCUCAGCGAGCUCAGACUAUUAACAACGCUUUAACGGGGAAAGACAGAGCGAGCUGGACUGACGUGAAUGUCAAGUAACAGCACGCUGGUGAACAAGACGAUUGUUCUAUUAAAUGGGAUUUCACAUUCCGUGGCUGUUUGAAGAAUGGAGACAAUUUCCCUGCCUGCCGUACCACUGUUUAUUCUGAGCUGUUUCAGCGUUGCUCAAGUCUUAGCCGACAGUUUGACGGCUCCUGUCAAUGUGACGAUCAGAGAGCUGAAGGCCAACUCCGGCGUGGUCACAUGGGACAUCCCAGAGGGGGACCCUGUCAUUGGAUUUGCCAUCACCCAGCAGAAGAAGGAUGUGCGCAUGCUACGCUUCAUCCAGGAAGUGAACACGACCACCCGUAGCUGUGCAUUAUGGGAUUUAGAGGAGGAGACCGACUACAUAGUGCAUGUGCAGUCCAUUGGUACAAACGGGCCCAGUCCUCUCAGCCAGCCAUUACUGUUCCGCACACCCGCAGAAGCUGAGACUCCUACAAGUAAAGACGAGGUUACCAUGGAGGAGGUGGGACAAGCCAAUCAGCUGAGGGCAGGGGAGAUCAUCAUCAUCGUAGUUGUACUCAUUAUGUGGGCAGGUGUGAUCGCUCUCUUUUGCCGUCAGUAUGAUAUAAUCAAAGACAACGAGCCCAACAACAACAAAGACAAAGCCAAGACCUCCUCCGAGUGUAGUACCCCUGAACACCCCUCAGGGGGGCUGUUGCGCAGUAAGGUAUAACCCUGCUCCCCUUCUACUACACUCCAAGGCCCCCCGAUGACACUGGGCAGUUCCCCAACAACAACUGCAACAACAACAAGAGGACGCCAUCUGUGCACAUCAUCGAGGUGUGACGGUCCCCAUCUCCUAACCGAAGGACUUCAAAGGAGUCUCCCGAACUUGGAUCGUAUGGCUCUCCUCCCUACACAGACCUUGCUCCUGAUGUGCCAGGCACUCUGGGAGCUGGCUCUGCCUUCGCUCCUGUCAGCUGUGUCUGGGGUUUGAAUGUGAGCCAAGGACAGCUCCUCAGGGACUGGCCACCAUGGGCCAGCGGCAAGCAGAGGGGGACACAAUGGUGGGUGGGGCAGACGCCCAGGGACCCUCUCUCUCUCUCUCGGUUGCAGAAGCGAGGAGAUAAGGCCCCCCAUCUUCUGAUGAACAUGUCCACAGAGCUGGAGAUUAGUUGGGGCGACAGAGACGCUUUUCUUUCUCGGCUCCUUAUCGAUGUGCACCCAGCCCCUUCUUGAGCCGUGGGUGAGGAGAGAAGACGGCGGCCAGAUGGCCUCUAGGUCCUUCUCUUCUCUCCUCCACGCCCUGGGUCUUUGGUUCUUCUGUAAAGAUUUCUUACCGCUGUGCAUCUUAACCGUUUCAGUGCAGGUUUAUCUCUCACACCGCACAUUUGCAAAACUGAGCAUGUUUCAACUACACUUCAUCUUCCGAAACACAAAGCCGCAAACCAGCAUUUUUCAAACUCGACAGCAACUCCCGAACAUGUUUGCAUCUCUGGUUGCCUCCUGCUCCGAUUUCUGUCCUCAGCAAUUUGCCAUUUAUUUGUUUCCCUGUUGUUUACGACACAGAACUGGCUGUGUAUUUUAAUUUAGAGGCCCCUUAGCCCCCAUGUAUCAUCACUGUUUUGAGGUUGAUAAAUUGAUAGAGAGAGGAGGGGAUAAAGUCAGAUCUGUAGAGAAAAUCGGCCAAGCAUCUGGACCAGGGCCAGGCAUGCUAGAGCAUCUGCACCAGUCUCAGUGAUUGGUAGGACUUCAGGGAGGCAUCUGUGGCUGAUCGCUCUCCUUUCCUCUCUCCCGCCUGCCUCGCAGGAUAGAUGACUAUUCCCUAAAGAACGCAGGGCUAAAUUUGGAACGGUUGAUAGUUACCUGCUGAGGACCCAGGCUGGAUCAAAGCAUGCCUCGGUGAAAACUCUCAUGGUCGCUCUUUCUCUGACUGAUGGGGUGUUAUGAUCUUUGGUUUGUAUUCAUAACAACCUUUGAACAUUAAUUAUAUCAAACUGUUGAACUCGACAGGUAAUAAGCGGCUUUUUAUUCAGGAUGAAAUUACAUUAGUCAUAAUUUAUACACCUUUGAUGUACAUUACUUUAAUCAUAGAAACAUUAUACUGGAUUUAUAUUUGUGUGUCAUGUUUAAUGAAAACAUUUUUUUUUUUGUCUUUGAUUAAUACUUUUGAAGUUUGUGGGUAUUUGGAAAGCCUCUUUCUCUUUGACUUCAAAAGAGACACUUCACACAUAUAGAGGACACAUUUCCAAAUGUUUCAGACAUCUAUUUCAGAUAUAUCAGUUAACGUUUGCCAGGAAGAAACAUUUAAAGGCAACUUCAGCGUGCCACCACAGCAUGAACAAAGAAUGUAUAAUAAAUAUUAAGAUGUUAUUUGAUGAUGAAAAACUUGUUUUUAGAAACACUGCUAUCAUUGAAUCAAACAAAUAUCUUUUGUCUUUUGGAUCUAAAAGGGAAACUGACCCUGUCUCCUUGAAAGGGCUCAAAAAAAUCUCACGUUAGCAAUAAUUAUCAGGGCAGUAUAGAGUGUAGUCAAAGUCGCAAAAUGUAAACCACUUGAAAAGUUUGAUGGUAAAAUGGGGGUGCAAAUCAUUGCCCCCCACAAUUUGGUUGUGUUAGUAGUUUGAGGUUUUUAAACAAUAAUAUAUUCCAAUGAAGGUUUAUUGUGAGCAUUUUAAACAGCUCUUGGUUGUUCCUAAAUGGCUUCCAACAAGGAAGGGCUUCUGUCAAGCAAAAGAAAAAAAAGAAAACACUUUUGUAAAAAAAAAAACAAGUGAAGAAUGGUGUAUGUUAAAACAUCAUUCAGGACUGAGCUUGGUCUACACCAACCUGUGGACGGUUCAAGGAGUAAGUACAGACAGGAUGAACCCUGAGAAUUCUAUCCACAGAGUCCCAUUUGUUUUUUUAUAAAUGCAAAUGCAGAUAUUGUGUUGCCUGCUGAUAAGUCAUUUACUAGAGCUGGUCCUGAUUCUGUGAUUUGAUCUUGAACUGAUGUGCUGGAAUU